rnacentral:rRNA from 1 species
GAUGAACGCUGGCGGCGUGCCUAAUACAUGCAAGUAGAACGCUGAAGGAGGAGCUUGCUCUUCUGGAUGAGUUGCGAACGGGUGAGUAACGCGUAGGUAACCUGCCUGGUAGCGGGGGAUAACUAUUGGAAACGAUAGCUAAUACCGCAUGACAACAGUUAUUGCAUGAUAACUGUUUAAAAGGGGCAACUGCUCCACUACCAGAUGGACCUGCGUUGUAUUAGCUAGUUGGUGAGGUAACGGCUCACCAAGGCGACGAUACAUAGCCGACCUGAGAGGGGGAGUGGCCACACUGGGACUGAGACCCGGCCCAGACUCCUACGGGAGGCAGCAGUAGGGAAUCGUCGGCAAGGGACGGAAGUCUGACCGAGCAACGCCGCGUGAGUGAAGAAGGUUUUCGGGUCGUAAAGCUCUGUUGUAAGAGAAGAACGAGUGUGAGAGUGGAAAGUUCACACUGUGACGGUAUCUUACCAGAAAGGGACGGCUAACUACGUG